UGGCCUAUUAGCUCAGUUGGUCAGAACGUCGUGCUAAUAAUGCGAUGGUCGCAGGUUCGAAACCUGUUGGCCCAU
rnacentral:tRNA from 1 species